rnacentral:rRNA from 1 species
CAGAGGUCCCAAGCGUUGUUCGGAUUCACUGGGCGUAAAGGGUGCGUAGGUGGUGAGGUAAGUCGGAUGUGAAAUCUCCGAGCUCAACUCGGAAAUGGCAUUGGAAACUACCUUGCUUGAGGGUUGAGGGGGGACUGGAAUACUUGGUGUAGCAGUGAAAUGCGUAGAUAUCAAGUGGAACACCAGUGGCGAAGGCGAGUCCCUGGACAACUCCUGACACUGAGGCACGAAAGCUAGGGGAGCAAACAGGAUUAGAUACCCUGGUAGUCCUAGCCGUAAACGGUGCAUAUUUGCUGUAAAAGGAAUCGACCCCUUUUGUGGCGUAGCUAACGCGAUAAAUAUGCCGCCUGGGAAGUACGGUCGCAAGAUUA